UACAGAGGUGGCAAGCGUUGUUCGGAAUUACUGGGCGUAAAGCGUGCGCAGGCGGUCUGUUAAGACCGAUGUGAAAUCCCCGGGCUUAACCUGGGAACUGCAUUGGUGACUGGCAGGCUUUGAGUGUGGCAGAGGGAGGUAGAAUUCCACGUGUAGCAGUGAAAUGCGUAGAGAUGUGGAGGAAUACCGAUGGCGAAGGCAGCCUCCUGGGCCAACACUGACGCUCAUGCACGAAAGCGUGGGGAGCAAACAGG
rnacentral:rRNA from 1 species